GUCUCCGUAGCUCAGUGGAUAGAGUAUUUGGUUGCGGACCAAAGGGCCGCAGGUUCGAAUCCUGCCGGGGACA
rnacentral:tRNA from 1 species